ACGAACGCUGGCGGCGUGCCUAAUACAUGCAAGUCGAGCGAUCUGGAGGUGGRGUUAUCGUGGAUCAGKUAGAMCGCWGCAGGCGGUGAACAAUCCUUUGACGUGACGGUACCGAAGGAGAAAGCCCCGGCUUACAGCGAGCGGCGGAYGGGUGAGUAACACGUGGGCAACCUGCCCGCAAGAYCGGGAUAACUCCGGGAAACCGGGGCUAAUACCGGAUGAUGCCUCUUCCUGCAUGGGAGGAUGCUGAAAGGCGGCCUUUGGCUGUCACUUGCGGAUGGGCCCGCGGCGCAUUAGCUGGUUGGUGAGGUAACGGCUCACCAAGGCGACGAUGCGUAGCCGACCUGAGAGGGUGAYCGGCCACACUGGGACUGAGACACGGCCCAGACUCCUACGGGAGGCAGCAGUAGGGAAUUUUCCGCAAUGGGCGCAAGCCUGACGGAGCAACGCCGCGUGAGUGAGGACGGCUUUCGGGUUGUAAAACUCUGUUCUUCGGGAAGAACGGYCGAAGGG
rnacentral:rRNA from 1 species